rnacentral:lncRNA from 1 species
UAUCUUCGUACAAAUUGUCUGCUGAUAAAUCCAUGCUCGUCUUGUCUUUCCUCGUGUUUGGCUUCUACAACUACGUUCUUAUCGACCGUCUUCACCGUGAUCUCGUCAGUUAUUUCCGAUGUAACGCGAUAGAAAGAGGAAGAGAACAUAUAUACGUAUGGUGGUGUUUGAUUUGUAAACGCCCUUAUGGUGUGUUCUCUUAGUAAGGGCACAUGAAACUCCACGUCCGUAAAAGCUUCUAUCUUUUAUUUUUAUCUUCGAUAUAUUAUUUGAAAUAGAAACGGGGGAUAUAUAUAUAAUAAAACAAUAAAGAAAGAAAAAGAAAGAAAAGAAAAAAGGAACGAGAUACAAGGGAGCGCAUUUCUCUGCAUUUUUUCUUUUUCCUUUUUUUCUUUACAUCGAAGAUUUCGGAAACGACGUUUUCCGAUCAUUCUUGCACUCUCGUUUUUAAUGAAAUCAAUGACAGGGUUCCCAAUUGCGUUGGAUCUUGUUGGAGGUAAUAAUUUUGAUUGAAAAAUCAGUUUCAUUUGAGAAAUGAAAUAAGGAAAAACGAUUGUUUAUUAAAAAUUCAAAUCGAUCAUGUAGGAAAACGUUUGAUUUGAUCCGUAUAGGAAGAGACGAAGAAGAUAAAAUAAAAAAACCAUUGCGGAGAUUUCAGAAUCUGCAGGAAUUUUCAUGUAAAAAACAACAACAAAGAAGAACACAAAUUUUCUUUUCCUCCCUUUGACAUUUUUUUUUCUUUCUCUGACUCGCUCUUAAAAAUCCUGGAUUGUUUCGUAUAAGAUCGUACAACAAAAGAUAGCCGGGAAGAUGUAGUUACCAGGUUCACCUACUUGUUGUGGAAUUGUUCUUUUCUCAUAUUUAACAAAUGCCCACUUAAGAGAGAGCACACAUACAAGUAGGUGGUGAUUAUUAUUCGAAAAAGAGAAAAAAACGCGUUUCAGUGCGAUCGAUGCUUUAUUUUAAUAUUUAGCUUGCUUCAAUUCUUAUUCUCAGCAGUCGAGAAUUUACAACGAUUAUUAUUAUUAAAAAAAAACAAACAAAAAUGCAUUCUUAUUAUUAAUCUAUUGAAUUAUAUAAUUGAGAUAUAGAGCAGGAUAUAAAAUUUGAUAUUAAGAAUAGAGAUACGAGAAAGAACCAUAACUGCAGUUUUGUUUUUUUUUUUUUUUAAUCGGCCCGCUCUAAGAGCGUGGACCGAUAAAAAAAAGUAACCCUAAUCAACGUCAAACGUAUCGUCGUAAUUAAUAAUAAUCGUCUUAACGAUCGUACUUUUUCCGUGAAAACUCUUUUUCGUAAACGGUAGGAGAAUAUAAGAAAAAAAUAAAAAAAAAAAACAAAUAAAAAGGAAAACAAAAUAUUAUUUAUGAGAGAGGAUUCGGUAUUUUGUGGUACGAUUCCCCCCCGUCGUUGAUAAAUUCAAAGUCUUUAUUUUUGUAAAAGAGAAAGUUUAUACAGAAUAAACCGUGAACUUAGGAAAACGAAAAAAGAAAGAAGAAGAAGAAGAAAAGAAGAUAAGAGGUCGUUUAAAAAACCACAUUUUAACGAAACCCACCCUGCUUUAGGGUGGUGGGUGGCCCCCUCUCUUUGAAGAGGGGGGUGUGACGUUUCUUCGUCUCCGUAAUUAACUCCAGAAUUGCAUUUCCAGGUUUCGGUUUUAUUCUCCAACAAGACUGAUACGCGAAUUAUAUAUAUAUAUAUAAAUAUAUAUAAUUAGAUCGCGGCGUUUUCUUUCAUUCUUUUUUCUCUAUUUUUUUUUUUAAUACUUCGUCGUAUUUGUUUCGUCGCAUUGGUUGUUCGUUAAACGCGAACGUAAUAAACUUGAUACCAAUUUUAAAUGAGAAAAAACAACAGGAUUAUUGCGUUCUAUUUUCCGAGAAUUGUUAACUUAGAUGGAACAAAACCGUAAUGCGAUAUAAAAUCAUUUCAAAUACGUCGAACUGAAAAUUCAUACGAGAGAAAAAUAAUAUAAAUGGUGUUUUAGAAAGAAAGAAAGAAAGAAAGAAAGAAAGAAAGAAAAAAAGAAAGAGAUCAUUGCGACUCUUUUAAUAUCUGUGAUUACGCGAUUAAUGACCGCGUUAACUACAAACAAACAAACAAACAAACAAACAAACAAAGAGAAUUAAUAAAUAAAUAAUUAAAUAAAAAAAGAUAAGAAGGAAUCGUAAGAGUCGAGAACCGCUGUGGUGUAUAUCCAACGAUUUUUUGUCGCAUAUUGUCUUCUCGAUAAAUACAUAUACACUUUACAUCCCCCAUUUACCCACGCACACGUCCCAUCCCCCAUACAAACAUAUUUAAAUAUAUGUAUUAUACACAGGACAAACAUAUACACAUACAUAUAUAUAUCGUUUCGUCUCAGGAACACUUUAGAUACCUGUCUAAUUUCGUCUAGAAUCGAGUCCCCCUUCCCCUCUCCCCCCACUCAUUAAUGGGAGGGGGGUCGAUCUCGAUAGUUCAGGGAGAAAAACUCGAACGACAACGGCAACAACCAGUGCUCGAUUAUUGAUCGAACUUAUAAAUUCUAUCGAUAGAUCAAAAAAAAAAAAAAACAAGAAAAAAGGAAAAAGAUUGUACCCCCCAACGCGCGAUGACGACGAUAUCGAUCUGAUUAUUCAUCUUGUUGGGAAAGAAGAAAUAACGCUGCUUUUUUCUUUUCCUUUUUUUCUUAUUCUUUUGGUUUUUUCCAUCUAAUAACCUAAUCCAAUUUCCUUAUUCGCGAAUGUACGAUAUAUCAGAUUUGCGCGUGAUUUCUUGAACGCGGCUAUAAUUAACGAUUGAGAUUUAACAGGUCGCGUCGUUUAAUAAUUUGCGAAGAGGAAAUGGGAGUUUUAUAUUGCUGAAGAAAAAGAAAUAACAACGAUGAUAUAAUGAUGAUGAUGAUGAUGAA